UACGAAGGGGGGCUAGCGUUGUUCGGAAUUACUGGGCGUAAAGCGCGCGUAGGCGGCUUAACAAGUCAGGGGUGAAAUCCUGGAGCUCAACUCCAGAAUUGCCUUUGAAAACUGUUAAGCUUGAGUGUCGGAGGGGAUAGCGGAAUUGCUAAUGUAGAGGUGAAAUUCGUAGAUAUUAGCAGGAACACCGGUGGCGAAGGCGGCUAUCUGGACGACAACUGACGCUGAGGCGCGAAAGCGUGGGGAUCAAACAGGGAU
rnacentral:rRNA from 1 species